GUUAAUGAGGCGAACCGGGGGAACUGAAACAUCUAAGUACCCCGAGGAAAAGAAAUCAACCGAGAUUCCCCCAGUAGCGGCGAGCGAACGGGGAGGAGCCCAGAGCCUGAAUCAGUGUGUGUGUUAGUGGAAGCGUCUGGAAAGGCGCGCGAUACAGGGUGACAGCCCCGUACACAAAAAUGCACAUAUUGUGAGCUCGAUGAGUAGGGCGGGACACGUGGUAUCCUGUCUGAAUAUGGGGGGACCAUCCUCCAAGGCUAAAUACUCCUGACUGACCGAUAGUGAACCAGUACCGUGAGGGAAAGGCGAAAAGAACCCCGGCGAGGGGAGUGAAAAAGAACCUGAAACCGUGUACGUACAAGCAGUGGGAGCCUCUUAAUGGGGUGACUGCGUACCUUUUGUAUAAUGGGUCAGCGACUUAUAUUCUGUAGCAAG
rnacentral:rRNA from 1 species